rnacentral:tRNA from 1 species
AGCUCUGAGGUGUUGGACACAUUGGAUUGCAAAUCCGAAGUAGCAGACUAAUUCUCUGCCGGGGCUU